CAAUGGGGGCAACCCUGAACCAGCCAAGUCGCGUGAAGGAUGAAGGUCUUAUGGAUUGUAAACUUCUUUUAUACGGGAAUAAAGUGGGGGACGUGUCCCCCUUUGCAUGUACCGUAUGAAUAAGGAUCGGCUAACUCCGUGCCAGCAGCCGCGGUAAUACGGAGGAUCCGAGCGUUAUCCGGAUCUAUUGGGUUUAAAGGGUGCGCAGGCGGGAUGUUAAGUCGGCGGUGAAAUUUUGCAGCUCAACUGUAAAAGUGCCAUCGAUACUGGCCUCCUUGAGUGUGGAUGAAGUAGGCGGAAUUUGUGGUGUAGCGGUGAAAUGCUUAGAUAGCACGAGGAACUCCGAUUGCGCAGGCAGCUUACUAAACCACAACUGACGCUCAUGCACGAAGGCGUGGGGAUCAAACA
rnacentral:rRNA from 1 species